rnacentral:rRNA from 1 species
CCCGCGUCCGAUUAGCUAGUUGGUGGGGUAAUGGCCUACCNAGGCGACGAUCGGUAGCUGGUCUGAGAGGAUGACCAGCCACACUGGAACUGAGACACGGUCCAGACUCCUACGGGAGGCAGCAGUGGGGAAUAUUGGACAAUGGGGGAAACCCUGAUCCAGCAAUGCCGCGUGGGUGAUGAAGGCCUUCGGGUUGUAAAGCCCUUUUGGCGGGGACGAUGAUGACGGUACCCGCAGAAUAAGCCCCGGCUAACUUCGUGCCAGCAGCCGCGGUAAUACGAAGGGGGCUAGCGUUGUUCGGAAUUACUGGGCGUAAAGGGCGCGUAGGCGGCUUCGAUAGUCAGGCGUGAAAGGCCUGGGCUCAACCCAGGAACUGCGCUUGAUACUGUGAGGCUAGAGUGUGGGAGAGGAUGGUGGAAUUCCCAGUGUAGAGGUGAAAUUCGUAGAUAUUGGGAAGAACACCGGUGGCGAAGGCGACCAUCUGGACCACUACUGACGCUGAGGCGCGAAAGCGUGGGGAGCAAACAGGAUUAGAUACCCUGGUAGUCCACGCUGUAAACUAUGCGUGCUGGACGUUGGCCAGCCUAGCUGGUCGGUGUCGUAGCUAACGCGAUAAGCACGCCGCCUGG